rnacentral:rRNA from 1 species
UACAGAGGGUGCAAGCGUUGUUCGGAAUUAUUGGGCGUAAAGGGCGCGUAGGCGGUGCGGUAAGUCUCUAGUGAAAUCUCCGGGCUCAACUCGGAGCCUGCUAGGGAAACUGCCGUGCUUGAGUGUGGGAGAGGUGAGUGGAAUUCCCGGUGUAGCGGUGAAAUGCGUAGAUAUCAGGAGGAACACCGGUGGUGUAGACGGCUCUCUGGACCGUAACUGACGCUGAGACACGAAAGCGUGGGGAGCAAACAGG